GACGAACGCUGGCGGCAUGCCUGAUACAUGCAGUCGAGCGAACAGAUGAAGUGCUUGCACUUCUGACGUUAGCGGCGAACGGGUGAGUAACACGUAAGGAAUCUACCUAUAAGCGGGGGAUAACAUUCGGAAACGGGUGCUAAUACCGCAUAAUAUCUCCUUCCGCAUGGAAGGAGAUUGAAAGACGGCUCUGCUGUCACUUAUAGAUGACCUUGCGGUGCAUUAGUUAGUUGGUGGGGUAACGGCCUACCAAGACGAUGAUGCAUAGCCGACCGGGGAGGGUGAUCGGCCACAUGGGGACUGGGACACGGCCCAAACUCCUACGGGAGGCAGCAGUAGGGAAUCUUCCGCAAUGGGCGAAAGCCCGACGGAGCAAUGCCGCGUGAGUGAAGAAGGCCUUCGGGUCGUAAAACUCUGUUAUAAGAGAAGAACAAAUUGUAGAGUAACUGCUACAGUCUUGACGGUAUCUUAUCAGAAAGCCACGGCUAACUACGUGCCAGCCGCCGCCGUAA
rnacentral:rRNA from 1 species